rnacentral:tRNA from 1 species
UCCUUUCGUAUUACCCUACCCCCAGGGGAAUUCGAAUCCCCGCUGCCUCCUUGAAAGAGAGAUGUCCUAAACC